UUGCGUUGGUGGGAGAGAAAAAAAAAAGUGAUUCUCUCGAGUCUACACGAGGAUCGUCGUCGGCAGUUCCACCAUGAGCAAAUUCACGCAUUCGGGAAUAGUUCUAUAGUUAUAAGUACACCAUACGACGAGUACAGCAUUAGUUUUCAGACGUGAACGUUUCGUUGCAGAGUUCGACUGUCGUCAUUGGUCGUGAUAGCAGUAAAAGAACAAUAAAUUCUAAAGAACGAUCAAAAAUGGCGUUUCGGUUCACGUGAAUAAAUUAUUCAUCAUUUUAAGGUGAUAUUGUGUAUAUAUAAAAAAAUACAUGUAUAAUUGAACGGCUUUUAUAAAAUUUUGCGUGUAGAGAGUCGCAAGUGUGGGUGUAUAUGUUUUUAGAGGUGUCUGUCAGUGUCUGUAAAUGAUACGUAAUAUAAUAAUAAGUUAUAUUUGUACCUGCGAUACACUAGAGUAAAAAGAAACAAAAAUGCAGUCUACGAUGGAACAGCUCCGUCCUGAACAGCUUGUAGGGCUUGUGGCACGUUCUGCGGAAGGGACAGCAGCCAAAGGAAUGGCAAUAAAAGGCCAUGAAGAUCUAUGGGUAGAAAUCCAAGCAAAUACGUUCAGAAAUUGGGUGAACGAACAUCUGAGACAUCAUCCAAGUACAGCAGGUAGCAACGGAGCAGUUGUUGAUCUAGCCGAAGAUUUUAGAGAUGGAACACGUCUCUGUGCCCUGGUUGAAAUUCUCACUAACAGGCGACUUCCUCGUUGGAACUCUCGUCCAGCAAAUCAACAUCAUCAUCUUGAAAAUGUCUCCACAGCUUUACAGGCUAUAGAAGCUGAUGGCGUGAGGCUUGUGAAUAUAGGGAACGUCGAUAUUGUGAAUGGUACCUUGAAACUAAUUCUCGGUCUUAUAUGGUCGCUCAUCGUAAGGUACCAAAUUGGAAAAUCUAAGUUUCCUCCAAGGAAACUUAUGCUGGCUUGGCUCAAGGCUGUAUUACCAGAAUGCAGAGUCAACAAUUUCACUACCGAUUGGAAUUCUGGAGUAUAUCUUAGUGCGUUAUUGGAUUAUUGCAAGCCAGGAUUAUUCCCCCAUUGGCGUCAGCUUGAUCCCAAUGAUAAUGUUUACAAUUGCCGCAAAGCAAUGGAGAUAUCAAAGCGUGAAUUUGAUAUUCCAAUGGUACUGGAACCGGAAUAUUUGGCAUCCCCUUACUUGGAUGAGCUUUCUGGAAUGACGUAUUUAUCGUACUUUAUGAAGGAAGGUUCUCCAGGUUUUCACGCCACCCUCAGAUGGGUGAAUUCUCAACUGCCACAUGCUCCCGUCAGGAAUUUUACGACCGAUUGGAACGACGGCAGAGCACUUUGCAGUAUCGUCAGAAAUUUGGGAGGUCCUGUACCUACCUACGACAGGCUGGAUAUUGACCCAAAAAGCUGGGAACACAACUUGCAGCAAGGCAUAGAAGGUGGUAAAAAGAUCGGUGUGGAGCCUAUAUUGAAGGCUAAGGACAUGGCGGACCAGAAUGUUGAACACUUGGGAGUAAUGGCUUAUGCUGCAUACUUUCAAUGGAUAAAACCACGCCCCCAGGCAAGCGAGCAAAUAGCUAUUCAUGUUGACAGUACCUCAGCAAGAGUACAACAUCCGGCGCACUUUAGACUGGAACUUCUCUCAAAGGAUGUAAACCUCCGCGAAGUACGUAGUGAAGUUAUCAGUCCCAGUGGACGUCUGGAAUGCAGACUAACGUGGAAUGGUAUUCAUGGUAAAGGGACGUUUAUUCCUACUGAAGUUGGCAUGCACAAGUUGAUGAUUUACAACGAUGGCGAACUUGUCAACGGAUGUCCGUAUCACUUCAGAGUACUACCUCCGCUAACAAAAAUUAAAUCACCGGGAAUGGAUCCAUGCGCUAUUGGCUCCAUUGUGGAAGUCCUAGUGAACAGUUACGGUACCAGUCAUGACGGUAUUGACGUAACUGCCUGGUCCCCAACCAGUCGAGCAUUGCCUUGCCCUGUAAAAGAAAAGGAUGGCGUUCACACCGCAACAUUCCAACCAGAUGAAACUGGUGAAUGGAGUAUUGCCAUUACCCACAAAGGAAAUCAUAUUCAAGGCGGUCCGUUUACGUGUUUCGUUUUCGAUCCGAACGGAGUCAAGCUGCUAGACAUGGAUGGUGCCAUGCCAGGCCAGCCUUUUUCCUUCAUUAUUGAUGCUCGAGGAACGGGUGGACUUGGGGACGUGAUUAUCGAUAUAGUCCAUGACAAACAUUCAGUUCCAUACCGGAUUGAGGACAUCGGUCCGAUGCAAUAUCGUGUGUCUUUUCUCCCGAGGGAUGCAGGAAAGUACCGCGUAUACGUGUACUUCAACGGUUCAGAUGUACGAGGCUCCCCAUUCUCUCUGAGAGUGGGUACUCAAAGGGGAUCUAGGCGAUCUAAGGAUUCGAAUUCAAGCCUGGAGAGAACGAAAAUGUCUUCAUUAGAAAGGAGAAUAAAUGGAACUCUGUUAUCUAACGAGCGAUCCAGUCCUGUACAAAAGAGUUACUCCCCUAGCUACAAAAGUUCAAGUCCGACACAAGGCUUUUGUGACUCGCAUAUCGUGAAAACUGACGUUGUUAUCCAGUCACCAGUUCAUUCAAAUCUAAACAAUUCGUUGAUGCACAAGACUUCCUCGAAUUUGAUAAAGGAGAGUAGUAGCAGCUCGCUCUACCAAACCACGAGCUCGACAAACCGCGCUCGCUCUCCAAAUCCAAGUCCGAAUUCUACAUUAAGGAAUUUGCACAGCCCUUCAUUGAUUAAGGAAGCCAAAGAGAUAUAUUCCAUGACUUCUGCCACCACUAAUUCCCGCUCAUCGAACAUUCAUUUGCCGAGUCCAAGUUUUGGAAAAGAGACAAAGGAGACUUCAUACUCGUUCAAUUCGUCAAAUCGUGCCGGAUCUCGAUCACCAAAUUCUAGUCCCAGCAAUACCGCAAUGCAAAAUCUGCACAGUCCUUCAGUUAUCAAAGAAUCUAAGGAGGUAUAUCAGUCGAAUUCGUUGAACCGUUCUAGAUCUCCAAAUGUCAGUCCAAUGGCGUUUGGAAACUCGAAUCAGAGUCCCGUCAACCGAAAUUUUAGCCCAAGGAAUGACAGAGAAAAUUACGGGAAUCGUCGAGACUCAACGGACAAUGGAGUUGUAGAUACUACGAGCAAUGUUCGAGUGUCUUCGAUGAUCGGUGGUUCUUCACGCAGGGAUUCAUGGGAUGCGAUAGCCAAGACAAAAUCUCUCCUCUCAUACGGCAGUUUGGAAUCAUUGGCAAAUUUGGCGAAUAAUUCAUCGGCCAAUGAGCACACCGUGAUGACAAACUCGAGCUUUGCGAACAACAAUAAUAAUAAUUAUAAGAGCACGAAUUACGGUACAACGAACAUGUCGCAGAGUCAGGAAAUAUCUAACCACACAACCCUGCAGAAUGUUCAGAGCACCUCCGAUUACUCGUCAGCUCUCAGGUACAAUGGAAAUCAAAAUGGAAGCCCGAGAACACAUGGAAUUUUGAAAAAUAAAGACCAUAACAGCUAUAAAGGCAUUGAUACGACGGAUGCAACACAUUCAAGGUUCUUAGGCAAUAGUAGCUCGGCUUUCAGACCGACCAUAAAGGAUCAUAAACUCGUCACUGGUGACGCUUUGGAAAUUUUGCCAAUCCAUAGACCAAUUUCUUUCACUCUGGACUCGAGCAUCGAUGCCAAUAAAGCAACAGUUCGUGUCACUGGUCCUCGCGGUAAAGAAUUAUCUGUGCAAAAAUCGACUCUUCGUGGUCAGAUUUACACCGUCAUAGCCGAAGAGGUAGGCGAACACAUAAUCGAGGUUCUUGUGAACGGUCAGCAUGUUGGAGGAUCUCCUUUUAGAUCUCAAGCUUACAAUGCGAGAGCUAUUCAAGUGGGGAAUAUUCCAAAUGGUGUUAUUGAUCAGCCAGUCGAAUUCGAAAUUGAUGGUGCGACCGCUGGUUCAGGAAAUCUUGAAAUACUCGUCAACGGGGGCCAUGUCACUAGUUUUGUGAGAGCGCUUGGUAACCAGAGAUUUUUGGCUUCAUUUGUGCCUCAUGAAGCAGUAACGCAUUUGGUAGAGAUGACAUUCAAUGGGGAAACGGUACCUGGUUCGCCGUGGCGAGUAGGCAUUAUGUCUGGUCCAAAAAUGUCAGUUGUCGGGGACUCUGUGAGACUUGUCCCAGCAGGUACCCCUGCGCUUUUUGAAUUGUCGGCCCUUGGUUUUACAAGCAAUGAAAUAGAUGUGCAGAUUAUAACUCCGUCGAAAAGACAAAUUGCUGCACACAUAGACGAGGAACCAGGUCGCGCAGGGGAAUUUCGUGUAGAAUUCACACCCAGUGAAGUUGGAAGCCAUUUAGUAGAAGUGAGCAUCGCGGGACAAAAGCUACCGGCUGGACCACUUGUUGCCAAAGUCUACAACAGUAGACUUAUUCAAGUUACUGACGUACCAAGUGCCGUUGUUGGACAUGCCUGCCAAUUCCGAGUCGACGCCAGUGCCGCUGGAGAAGGUCAAUUAGAGAUUUCAAUAAAUGAGGGAGAAGUACCAAAUCAUGUUCAAGUUGUUGGAGGUGGUCGUUGCCUCGUUUCUUUUACGCCUGAUGUAGCAAAGCCACAUUAUAUCGACAUCAAAUUCAAUGGAGAGACUGUUGCUGGUUGUCCAUUUGUUUGCAAUGUUUCUGAUACGAGCAGAGUCACAUUGAGUCUUGCUCAUUUGGAACUGAUAGCUGUGGAUCAACCAGCCUCUUUUCACAUGGCCGUUGAUGGCAGUGGAAGUGCAGAACUCGCUGUUUCUGUAAGAGGACCACACAUCGAACUUCCGGUCAAAGUAACAGGCAAUAUGCACAGCGGUUUUACAGCAGAAUUUGUACCACAAGAUGUCGGUGUACAUUCGAUAAGUGUGGAGUAUAAUGGUCACCCUGUUAAUGGAACACCAUUUUUAGCGAAAGCAUUUAAUGCUGAUAAAGUAUUAGUCGGGCCUGUUGCCAGAGGAAGUGUAGGUCAACCUACCCAUUUUACCGUUGAUGCUAGUCAGGCUGGCGAAGGAAAUCUUGAAAUAACGAUAUCGGCACGUGGUCACAACAUCCCCACUCAAGUAACUCCGCAAGGAAAUGCUCGAUUCUCUGUCAGUUUUGUUCCAUUCGAGGCGUGCGAGCAUGUCAUUAGUAUCGCAUUCAAUAAGAAGACAGUACCUGGAUGUCCAAUAUUAACCAGAGUUGGUGGGGAUAGUAAUGUGACUGUAAGUGGACAGGCAUUGAGCAGUGCUGGUUUAGGAAGGCAGAGCUAUCUUACCGUCAGUAACGUUGCCGGUAGCUUGGAAGACCUUGAAGUUAACGUUGAAGGUCGGCCAGCUUUCAGACUACGACAUUACUAGACUUUAAAAAAAUUAAAAAAGAAAAAACCAAUCAUUUAGAUUUAACUAUCUAGUUUAUGGACUGUAAUCAAUCAAUCAAUCAAAUGGUGAAGGCUCCCUAACUCCAGUGUCCCGAAGACCCUGCGUUUUAGGCCCAAUGGACAGGCUGUCCCGGCUCAGGUCACUGACAACAAAGACACAACAUGCAGCGUCGCUUUUACACCAAGAGUUGUUGGAG
rnacentral:misc_RNA from 1 species